GGGUUGUGAGGUUAAGCGACUAAGCGUACACGGUGGAUGCCCUGGCAGUCAGAGGCGAUGAAGGACGUGCUAAUCUGCGAAAAGCGUCGGUAAGGUGAUAUGAACCGUUACAGCCGGCGAUGUCCGAAUGGGGAAACCCAGUGCAAUUCGUUGCACUAUCGUUUGAUGAAUACAUAGUCAAACGAGGCGAACCGGGGGAACUGAAACAUCUAAGUACCCCGAGGAAAAGAAAUCAACCGAGAUUCCCCCAGUAGCGGCGAGCGAACGGGGAGCAGCCCGGAGUCUGAAUCAGCUUGUGUGUUAGUGGAAGCGUCUGGAAAGUCGCAGGGUACAGGGUGAUACUCCCGUACACUAAA
rnacentral:rRNA from 1 species